rnacentral:rRNA from 1 species
UACGUAGGAGGCGAGCGUUGUCCGGAGUACUGGGCGUAAAGCGCACGCAGGCGGUCUUGUCAGUCUCAGGUGACAGUCCUCGGCUUAACUGAGGAAGUGUCUGGGAAACUGCAAGACUUGAGGGCUUCAGAGGGACAUGGAAUCCAGGUGGAGUGGUGAAAUGCGUAGAUAUCUGGAGGAACACCAAAGGCGAAGGCAGUGACCUGGGG